rnacentral:rRNA from 1 species
UUAAGCAUAUCAAUAAGCGGAGGAAAAGAAACCAACAGGGAUUGCCCUAGUAACGGCGAGUGAAGCGGCAACAGCUCAAAUUUGAAAUCUGGCUCUCGGGCCCGAGUUGUAAUUUGUAGAGGAUGCUUUUGAUGCGGUGCCUUCCGAGUUCCCUGGAACGGGACGCCAUAGAGGGUGAGAGCCCCGUCUGGUUGGAUGCCAAAUCUCUGUAAAGCUCCUUCGACGAGUCGAGUAGUUUGGGAAUGCUGCUCUAAAUGGGAGGUAUAUGUCUUCUAAAGCUAAAUACCGGCCAGAGACCGAUAGCGCACAAGUAGAGUGAUCGAAAGAUGAAAAGCACUUUGAAAAGAGAGUUAAAAAGUACGUGAAAUUGUUGAAAGGGAAGCGUUUAUGACCAGACUUGGGCUUGGUUAAUCAUCUGGGGUUCUCCCCAGUGCACUUUUCCAGUCCAGGCCAGCAUCAGUUUUCGCCGGGGGAUAAAGGCUUCGGGAAUGUGGCUCCCUCCGGGGAGUGUUAUAGCCCGUUGCGUAAUACCCUGGCGGGGACUGAGGUUCGCGCAUCUGCAAGGAUGCUGGCGUAAUGGUCAUCAACGACCCGUCUUGAAACACGGACCAAGGAGUCGUCUUCGUAUGCGAGUGUUCGGGUGUCAAACCCCUACGCGUAAUGAAAGUGAACGCAGGUGAGAGCUUCGGCGCAUCAUCGACCGAUCCUGAUGUUCUCGGAUGGAUUUGAGUAAGAGCAUACGGGGCCGGACCCGAAAGAAGGUGAACUAUGCCUGUGUAGGGUGAAGCCAGAGGAAACUCUGGUGGAGGCUCGCAGCGGUUCUGACGUGCA